rnacentral:rRNA from 1 species
UGUGUAGGCGGACUUCUAAGUACCUUGUGAAAUCCCACGGCUUAACUGUGGAACUGCUUGGUAUACUGGUUGUCUUGAGCCACUCAGGGGCGAGCGGAACAAAUGGUGGAGCGGUGAAAUGCGUAGAUAUCAUUUGGAACGCCAACGGUGAAACAGCUCGCUGGGGGUGUGCUGACGCUGAGACACGAAAGCCAGGGGAGCGAACG